GAUGAACGCUGGCGGCGUGCUUAACACAUGCAAGUCGAACGGUGAAGCAGGAGCUUGCUCUUGUGGAUCAGUGGCGAACGGGUGAGUAACACGUGAGCAACCUGCUCCUGACUCUGGGAUAAGCGCUGGAAACGGCGUCUAAUACUGGAUAUGUGAUGUGACCGCAUGGUCUGCAUCUGGAAAGAAUUUCGGUUGGGGAUGGGCUCGCGGCCUAUCAGCUUGUUGGUGAGGUAAUGGCUCACCAAGGCGUCGACGGGUAGCCGGCCUGAGAGGGUGAACGGCCACACUGGGACUGAGACACGGCCCAGACUCCUACGGGAGGCAGCAGUGGGGAAUAUUGCACAAUGGGCGGAAGCCUGAUGCAGCAACGCCGCGUGAGGGAUGACGGCCUUCGGGUUGUAAACCUCUUUUAGCAGGGAAGAAGCGAAAGUGACGGUACCUGCAGAAAAAGCACCGGCUAACUACGUGCCAGCAGCCGCAGUAA
rnacentral:rRNA from 1 species